rnacentral:lncRNA from 1 species
GCAGGAAGAAAAGAAAUGUCUUCUCAAAUGUACCCAUCUUCUAAAGGGGGCUUGGCAGCUUUUGAGACUCAAGUUUUGGCAACCAACUGGCAUUUCUCCAGCACGGGGCUGGGCUGGACGCAGAUCUUCUUGCCCUGGCUCUGCAGUCUCCUGAUGUCUCAGAGAGGUGUGGGGAAAGAUACACACAUUUCUCAUGCCAGAAGAUGCAUGCCAGUGGAUCUAAAGAAGUCUAAUGUGAACAAAGAGAAGAGUCUUCAAAUAUCUGACUUAUAUAUUCUUCCUGGGAUUUUGGAUAUAAUCAGUGAAAACAACAGAAUGCCCUUUUAUUGGCUACUCAAACAGCCUGAGCUGUGUUUCCAUUCAUGAUGUAACUUUCAAAGUGAAUUUACAAAGCAACUGGAUUCACAUGCUGGUGUCCCAACCUCGUUUUAAUAGAAUGUUCUGCUUGUGGCCCUCACAAACUCCCCACUGCUUGCUGAGGUGGAUUAAAAGAUGCAAACUCACUGAAAUACGCCAAAGAAUAUAAUGGUCUCUACAGAAGAUCUGGCUGUGUCAACCAACAAAAAGUUCCAGCUGUGGCCGCUGUGUGGAACAAAGGGAACUCUUGGCUUAACAUGGAGUGCAUGCUUCUGACGUUCCAGUUCAGGCAAGAAAUAAAUAAAGCUAUUACAAAGCCC